AUGACCCAAUUUCUUUGCAUUCAUUUUUGUCGGGUUUGCUUUCUUUUCACCUUCAUUCUGUACUUUUGUGCUUUUGUACUGACUUUGCAUACUCCGAAUCCUAGUAUUUUGUAUGCACUAGCAACUUCACACUUAGAUAAUUAUUCUUGUCACACAGAAGCUGUUAUUUCACCAUUACAAGUUGUACUGAUUGUCACCGUACUUCGUGAACCGUGCUGUCGUGAUGUUAUAGCGAUUUUUCCUGAGAACGAUGAACUGCCAUCUGUUUUCCAAUUAAUCUUGAGAUCUUGUCGAAUGUUUUAUGUUUACGGAGGUACUGCCACAUCUUAG
rnacentral:rRNA from 1 species